GAUGAACGCUAGCUACAGGCUUAACACAUGCAAGUCGAGGGGUAACGAGAGGAAAGCUUGCUUUCCUUGUCGACGACCGGCGCACGGGUGAGUAACGCGUAUCCAACCUGCCCCCAACUAAGGAAUAACCUUGCGAAAGUAAGACUAAUACCCUAUAAUUUCCUCAGAUGUCAUCUGACGAGGAAUAAAGAUUUAUCGGUUGUGGAUGGGGAUGCGUCUGAUUAGCUUGUUGGCGGGGUAACGGCCCACCAAGGCAACGAUCAGUAGGGGUUCUGAGAGGAAGGUCCCCCACAUUGGAACUGAGACACGGUCCAUACUCCUACGGGAGACAGCAGUGAGGAAUAUUGGUCAAUGGGCGGAAGCCUGAACCAGCCAAGUAGCGUGCAGGAUGACGGCCCUAUGGGUUGUAAACUGCUUUUAUACAGGAAUAAAGUUAGCCACGUGUGGUUAUUUGUAGGUACUGUAUGAAUAAGGACCGGCUAAUUCCGUGCCAGCCGCCGCAGUAA
rnacentral:rRNA from 1 species